CGAUGUGCAUGUGAACUUCACUAAAGAAGAAUGGAAUUUGCUGCAUCCUUCCCAGAUGAAUCUCUACAAAGAUGUUAUGUUGGAGACCUACUGGAACCUUACUUCUAUAGACUACAAAUGGGAAGACCAUCACAUUGAAGAAUCAUGUCAAUGUUCUCGAAGACAUACAAGUUCCACCCAGUGCUGAAGAGACCCUCCUGUGUGAUCCCUAGAAGACAGUCUCUUCCUGGCUGCCUGUGGAUCAAGGUGCAGAAUUCUCAGCUCCUUCUUCAGCAUUAUGUUUACCUGCAUGCCUCCCAUGCUUCCUGCUAUGAUGAAAAUGGACUAAACCUCUAAAACUGUAAGCCAGCCCCAGUUAAAUGUUUGCUUUUACAAGAGUUGCCUUGGUCAUGAAAUCUAUUCCUAGCAAUGGAAGUUCUAAGACAGAAACCCUGUGAGUGUGGUUAAUAUAGUGAAGCCAUUGCACAAUUCUGUAGUCUUCUUCAUCAUAUAAGAAUUUGUACUGGCAAGAAACUCUGAAUGCAUUAGUAUGGUGAAACUUUUGCAUACCUGUAUAUUUUUCAUCAUUAUGAAACUAUUAAUAUUGGUGAGAAAUUUUAUGAAUACCUGCAAUGUGAUAAAGCCUUUAUGGUAUGGGGUGACUGAGGUCCAACACAACUCAAAUACAGGACAAUGCAAAUGAUAAUAAUUUAUUAUAAUCAAGUCACUACUC
rnacentral:lncRNA from 1 species